UAGGGAAUCUUCGGCAAUGGACGGAAGUCUGACCGAGCAACGCCGCGUGAGUGAAGAAGGUUUUCGGAUCGUAAAGCUCUGUUGUAAGAGAAGAACGAGUGUGAGAGUGGAAAGUUCACACUGUGACGGUAUCUUACCAGAAAGGGACGGCUAACUACGUGCCAGCAGCCGCGGUAAUACGUAGGUCCCGAGCGUUGUCCGGAUUUAUUGGGCGUAAAGCGAGCGCAGGCGGUUAGAUAAGUCUGAAGUUAAAGGCUGUGGCUUAACCAUAGUAGGCUUUGGAAACUGUUUAACUUGAGUGCAAGAGGGGAGAGUGGAAUUCCAUGUGUAGCGGUGAAAUGCGUAGAUAUAUGGAGGAACACCGGUGGCGAAAACGGCUCUCUGGCUUGUAACUGACGCUGAGGCUCGAAAGCGUGGGGAGCAAACAGGAUUAGAUACCCUGGUAGUCCACGCUGUAAACGAUGAGUGCUAGGUGUUAGACCCUUUCCGGGGUUUAGUGCCGUAGCUAACGCAUUAAGCACUCCGCCUGGGGAGUACGACCGCAAGGUUG
rnacentral:rRNA from 1 species